UGUCCAUCUCUAACCCAAGAGUCCCAUCUGUGCUGAGUUAAAUGCUUUGCCCCCACAAAGUGAUGAUUCCAAACUCAGGUUAUCCUGAACAGUCAUCCCCUUGGGCCCAGCACUUGGAAUUUGAAGGACUCCGUCCUUGCUUGCCACCCCCGACAAAGACAGCACUUGAUUUUCUGCACUGAGUUCCAGAUAUUCUGCCUCUACUCUGCAUUGCCCUCAACCAGUGAGCUCUGCCCACCUGGCGUCUCUGCAGUCUUAAUAGUGCCCAGCUGGCUCAAGCAAGCAUCAGAUCAGGUACAGGAGACCCUCUCAGAGUCAGGAAGCUGGACCAGGUGUGAGUUCAAAGGUCUUGGCCACUGGAGAACCAGACCAUUAACUUGGCUCUCUUGCCUGUUGCUGUGCAGGAUAGAGGGGCAGGGCAGAGGUUCAGCCACGAUUGUUUCCCAAUGAUACUUUCCAUUGUUUGCACUUGCCUCCUCAAAUAGAAAUUCAUUCAUCGGGAGGCCACCUAGCUUGCAUUCCCUCUAGCCCCGGGCAAGGCCACACUUAGGCCCUGUCAUUGCUGCCACACCUAGGAUGAUCAGGUAGGAAACGCAGGGCUUCACUGUCCUGCAGGAAGGUAGAUCCUGCAUGAGUAAGACCCCGUACAUCCCUGUGCAAACCCAGGGUGUAAACCUCAGUAAUGGGAGAGCAUGACAUGGCCAAGCCUGUGGGGCCCUACUCUCCAAGGCCGGGGAGAGCAGGUAAUCUACCCAGACCCAGACUGACCUGACCCCUCUGCCUCCCAGGGUCCAGACCCAGAGCUCUUGGCUUCCUCUCCCUCAUCUGCCUCCACAGUGAGUGUCUGCGAAGCACUUGCUUAAAUACAUAUCACGUGUUUUAGACUCGAAGCUCAAAGCACUGGAUUGUGGUCCCUGUCCCUGCCCAAGUGGCUGAGACCUACUGAGCUGUUCACUGUGCCGUUCGAGGUAGGGAAGAAAAGGCCUCCGAGCUGUUGCUGGGACAGGAGGGUGGAGAGGCCUGGGACAGACAGCGCUCCCUCCUGCCAGUAGACACUGGGACAUCCCUGUCCACGGAGAUCAGCCGGGUAUCGAAAGCCAUGAAGACUGUCCCUAGCCCUGAGCGAUACUGUGACAAGACAUUCUUGAAUUCUCCCCAGACAAGGUCACUUCCCCCACCAUUCCAGCCAUUGUCUGUCUGUCACCAAUUCACAUCCUCACUUCUAGGAGGGGGAAAGGUUGAGUCUUUAGAUGUGCGAUUGAUCCCCUUGCAACUGGGGGAAGCUGGGGGUUUCCUCAGUGUCUCCCACAGCGCAGCUACUCUCUUCAGUGUGGGGAAAGGGGGGCCCUGGUGUCAGAAUACGUAACUUAAAGCCUGUGCGUGUGGUGGUGCGUGGUGUGUGUGUGUGUGCAUGUGUGCUGUAUGUGUGUACUUUGAACCAAUAGUAUAUAAAUAUAAAUAUAAAUAUAUAUAUAUAUCCCUGACACCCGCGAGAAUCUCCACCCUGUAUGAGAGUUGCCAUUGUUACAUUCAGAUCGGAUUCAGUUCGUUUCUGUUUCUGUUUUUGUUGUUGUUGGGUUUUUUUUUUUUUCCUUUUAGAACUAUAUAGUGUUGAGAAAGGAAUCAAAUGUAAAUGUCUGGUUUCCAUAUAACGU
rnacentral:lncRNA from 1 species